AUUGCUUCCCUGUCUUUUGGCUAAGAUCAAGUGUAGUAUCAGUUAUCAGUUUAAUAGCUGAUACGCCCUC
rnacentral:snRNA from 1 species